AUGCAUCGUUACAAAUAAUAUAGAAGCCUUUUUCCUACUGGAUUUCAAUCUCUGUGUUAUUAUUUACUCAACGUCUUGAGAUGAAUUAUGGCCCUAGUGGAUGAGAUGUGGAAGAAGGGAGAAUACAAAGGAAUAGUCAGCCGCUGACCAUGCUGCAUUUCCAUUUCCAUGGGACAUAAAGGGCUUCUAUCUGUGGUUUAACCAUUAACCCGCAUUUUUGCAUAUGAUCCUCAGUCUUUUGCCACACAGACGCACCAUCCGUUGUCAUUUCGAAGCCAUGUAUUCCACUGUUUGGUAUACAACUUCAUAUAUUUUUUUUUUUUAAAUUAGAAAACCAAAACAACCUCAGAUCAAAGCUUCAGUCCAUGUAUAUGAAGGGAAAACCCCACAAGGAGCAGGGUGUGAAAAAUGGGAAGUUUCAUCACCAACAGGCAAAGCAGAAGACACGCAGCGAGGAGCAGGGGAGAAGGAAUCCGGCAGCGGGGGAAUCCCUGUGCAUGAUGCAAAACAGGAUAUUUUGGCUGGACUCGCAUCAACCUGGAGGCUAACGUUGCCUUUCGCCCCCGCACCUGAACUUUUCGGUGACCCAACCCGGAUCACAGACAGUCCUCUUACUUUGUUUCCAAAAACAAAGGGAAGAUGGGAUCUAAAAAUCCCCAGUUUACUUUUUAAAAUUUAUUGCUGCACUUUUUACUUGAUCUUUGCGUAAUAGUAGUUGACUGGUUGUUUAAAUCUUGACAGAUUUGAUAAAAAAAAAAAAAAAAAAAUGUUUCUGAGUUAUUUACACAAAUCCAGGCUUCUUUAUCGCUGUCAGCGAAGAGGAGUUAGAGACGCAGACCUCUGGAUGUUGGCCAGACGACCGUCCAUAUCUUCCCACAAUGUUGACACUCGGAGCUCUUAACAGCCAGGCUUGGGUUACCGAGACACUGAGCCGAAGAUAACUCUUUCUGCGAGGUUUACACCGGCCAACAUCAAGGCUAAUGCGAAAUUCAACGCCUUAAGCUGAGUUGGAGCCAUUUCUCAUGGACAGAGACCAGACGGAAUUGAACGGUGGAACUGUUUAUAUAUGAGGGGCUGUAAUAAAGCUAUUAAAAAUAUCUGACUUAUUUUUAUGUCUAAAACUGUUUUCAGGUCACAUACAGUAAGCUUUUAUGUUGAAUUUUGGAGGUAAGUGCAAAUAAUACUACUACUACUACUACUACUAAUAAUAAUAAUAAUAAUAAUAAUAAUAAUAAUAAUAGAAUUUUACUGUACAAAAUUACUAUUUUUAAAUAAACCAAUAAAUCAAGAAUCUCUUGCAUGUUCAACAGUAACUCUUCCAGUGUCAUACUGAAGUCUGUUGUGUUCACAGUUUUGAAGACAGAGUUAUACAUUCAGUUUAACUUUCGGUUUUUGUAUUAUUUCACACUCAGAAAGUUUAAGUUUCAGUAUAGUCUAUACCACCUGUUUCUCUACAACCAUAUUCUGUUUCAUUUAGCAAAAAAAAAAAAAAAA